GUUGCUUCUUACUGGUGAACUCUCUCUGUGUUGAAAGUGAGGGAAGUUCAAUGUUUCCGAAGCAUAGAUCAAUGGCUUUUUAUUUAAAGCUUUGCCAGUUUUAAACAGCUCGGUGCAUUGCCAUUUGCCAUCGUGCUACCUGUCUUCUGGUAUAUUU